rnacentral:rRNA from 1 species
UCGAGAAUCUUCGGCAAUGGGCGCAAGCCUGACCGAGCGACGCCGCGUGGAGGACGAAGGCCUUCGGGUUGUAAACUCCUGUCGAGGGGAAGGAAGGGGCCGCGAGGCCCUUGACCGCUCCCUGGAGGAAGCACGGGCUAAGUUCGUGCCAGCAGCCGCGGUAAGACGAACCGUGCGAACGUUAUUCGGAAUCACUGGGCUUAAAGCGCGUGUAGGCGGGACGGCACGUCGGUCGCUGAAAUCCCCCGGCUUAACCGGGGAACGGGCGCCGAUACGACCGGCCUGGAGGGACGUAGGGGGACCUGGAACUUCCGGUGGAGCGGUGAAAUGCGUUGAGAUCGGAAGGAACGCCCGUGGCGAAAGCGAGGUCCUGGACGUUUUCUGACGCUGAGACGCGAAAGCCAGGGGAGCGAACG